CGCCCGAUGGCCGCUGCCGGGACUCUCCUCCAUCUCCUGGAGCUCACAAGCCACCGGAGAAUUCGUGAAAGCCCCUGUGAUGGCGGGGGGAGGAAGAGUGGCAGCGGGAAGGAGCAGGCGGCGGCCGGUGAGGGGAGAGGCCCGCCUGCCCCCCCUCCUCAGCGCACCUCAGGAGCGGCGGGGGAUGCUGGAGCCCGGCGAUCUCGGCUGGUUGCCGGCUGAGGUGGAAGCCAGAGCCGUCCGCCACGAUGCUCUGUAAUAGUUCCUUGCAAGAAGAAUUUGAGCAUCUUUAAGAGAAAGAGACACCCUGCAGGAGAGAAAGGUGGAAGGCUCCGGAGGCGUAACUGACAGUUACGGACAUGGACUACCCAAACUAGGUUGGUUAAAAGGGGCAAGGUCAUUGUCUGGCUAUAGUGGCCAUGAAACUUGAGAGUUUUGGCAAAAGCGAUGUUCUGCUUAUAAAAAAGCGGCGAUGUGUCUCCCUUCUACAAGUACUGCUUUCAUCUCCUUCACUUUUUGCUUGCUGUUGCACUCAGAAGACCUUAGUCCCUCUGCAACAAGCAUUCCACAGCAAGAUAACUUUGAUGCAGUUGCUGCCUAUCACAGCAGAACAGAAACUCUGUAACAACUUGUUAUAGUUAAAAUAAAAAAACUAAGU